CCCUAUGGGUUGUAAACUUCUUUUGUUUGGGAAGAAAUCUGGUCAUUUAUGAGCAGUUGACGGUACCUUACGAAUAAGCACCGGCUAACUCCGUGCCAGCAGCCGCGGUAAUACGGAGGGUGCAAGCGUUAUCCGGAAUCACUGGGUUUAAAGGGUGCGUAGGCGGUUUGAUAAGUCAGAGGUGAAAGCUAGCAGCUUAACUGUUAAAUUGCCUUUGAUACUGUCAGACUUGAAUCAAGUUGAGGUAGGCGGAAUGUGACAUGUAGCGGUGAAAUGCAUAGAUAUGUCAUAGAACACCAAUUGCGUAGGCAGCUUGCUGGGCUUGAAUUGACGCUGAGGCACGAAAGCGUGGGGAUCAAACAGGAUUAGAUACCCUGGUAGUCCACGCCCUAAACGAUGUUAACUCGAUAUUUAUUCUUCGGAGUGAGUGUCCAAGCGAAAGCGUUAAGUUAACCACCUGGGGAGUACGUUCGCAAGAAUGAAACUCAAAGGAAUUGACGGGGGU
rnacentral:rRNA from 1 species